UGCUAGUAUAAAUGCAGUGUUGCAAAUAUUUUGGGAUAUCACCAUGAAAAAGGGCUUGCUCCCAGCAAAAAAAUCUCAUUUUCCACAUCUUUCACCCAUUGACAAACCCUGUUGCAAGCCUUUAUUGCCAAAGCCUUGUCUCGCAAGAGGAUCAAAUGCUGCAUAAAGUUCAAAAUCUGAAGUGACCCAACAGAAUAGAACAUAAUUCUCAUCUCUUCUAAACUGUGUUUUGUGGGGCCCAUUUCCCUUAUCAUGCAUGGAAGCAUAAACUUUCUGGUAAGCUCUAUAUAAUCUUUUCUGCUGUUGUGGACUAUUAACUGGUGAUGAAAACUCAGAAGAUACAUAUUGAUCCAGAUAUAUACUGCGAUAUAUAAAAUGCCAAAGUCCAGCAGGACCACCGAUGCCUAAAUAUGAUUCCCUGAAUCUUUCAGGGUGAUCAGUCGGUAGUUUAUGNUGAUAGUUUAUGCUGACCUAAAUGAGGAGAAGCAGUUCCUGAACGAGGCAAUGAAUCACCA
rnacentral:misc_RNA from 1 species